rnacentral:rRNA from 1 species
GGAGGGGGCUAGCGUUGUUCGGAAUUACUGGGCGUAAAGGGCGCGCAGGCGGCUGCUCAAGUCAGGCGUGAAAGGCCUGGGCUCAACCCGGGAAUUGCGCUUGAGACUGGGCUGGCUUGAGUGCGGGAGAGGAUGGUGGAAUUCCCAGUGUAGAGGUGAAAUUCGUAGAUAUUGGGAAGAACACCGGUGGCGAAGGCGGCCAUCUGGACCGCAACUGACGCUGAGGCGCGAAAGCGUGGGGAGCAAACAGGAUUAGAUACCCUGGUAGUCCACGCCGUAAACGAUGAGUGCUAGACGUUGGGGAGCCUAGCUUUCCGGUGUCGCAGCUAACGCAUUAAGCACUCCGCCUGGGGAGUACGGCCGCAAGGUUAAA